UGGGGAAUAUUGCGCAAUGGGCGAAAGCCUGACGCAGCAACGCCGCGUGUGUGAUGAAGGCUCUCGGGUCGUAAAGCACUGUCAGAAGGGAAGAAACAAAUGACGGUACCUUCAAAGGAAGCACCGGCUAACUCCGUGCCAGCAGCCGCGGUAAUACGGAGGGUGCAAGCGUUGUUCGGAAUCAUUGGGCGUAAAGCGCGCGCAGGCGGCUUGCCAAGUCUGAUGUGAAAUCCCGGGGCUCAACCUCGGAACUGCAUUGGAAACUGGUAGGCUUGAGUAUGUGAGGGGUUAGUGGAAUUCCUGGUGUAGGGGUGAAAUCCGUAGAGAUCAGGAGGAACACCGGUGGCGAAGGCGACUGACUGGAACAUAACUGACGCUGAGGCGCGAAAGCGUGGGUAGCAAACAG
rnacentral:rRNA from 1 species